rnacentral:misc_RNA from 1 species
GAUGAAGAACGUAGCGAAAUGCGAUAAGUAAUGCGAAUUGCAGAAUUUCCGUGAGUCAUCGAAUCUUUGAACGCACAUUGCGCCCACUGGUAUUCCGGUGGGCAUGCCUGUUCGAGCGUCAUUAUCCUCCCUCAAACCCCGGGUUUGGUGUUGGACCCAAGUUGUGUGAACAACUGGUCUCAAAGACAAUUACGGCGUCCGUGGGACCCUCGGUGCAACGAGCUUUUAGGAGCACGCAUCGAGUUGCAAGGACCUUCCGGGCCGGUCUCCUUUACCAUUUUACAAGGUUGACCUCGGAUCAGGUAGGAAUACCCGCUGAACUUAAGCAUAUCAAUAAGCGGAGGA